rnacentral:rRNA from 1 species
UACGGAGGAUGCAAGCGUUAUCCGGAUUUAUUGGGUUUAAAGGGUGCGCAGGUUGUUUGAUAAGUCAGUGGUGAAAGUCUGUCGCUUAACGGUAGGAUUGCCAUUGAUACUGUUGGACUUGAAUAUGGAUGAGGUAGGCGGAAUGUGUAGUGUAGCGGUGAAAUGCAUAGAUAUUACACAGAACACCGAUUGCGAAGGCAGCUUGCUGGGUCAUUACUGACGCUGAUGCACGAAAGCGUGGGGAUCAAA